GAUGAACGCUGGCGGCGUGCCUAAUACAUGCAAGUAGAACGCUCAAGGGAGGAGCUUGCUCUUUCCGGGUGAGUUGCGAACGGGUGAGUAACGCGUAGGUAACCUGCCUGGUAGCGGGGGAUAACUAUUGGAAACGAUAGCUAAUACCGCAUAACAGUUGGAGUUGCAUGAUAUCUUCUUAAAAGGUGCAUUUGCACCCCUUCCAGAUUGACCCGCGUUGUAUUUGCUAUUUGGUAAGGUAAAGGCUUACCAAGGCGACGGUGCGUAGCCGACCUGAGGGGGGGACCGGCCACACUGGAACUGAGACAGGGUCAAGACUCCUACGGGAGGCGGAAGAAGGGAAUCUUCCGAAAUGGGGGAAAGCCUGACGGAGCAACGCGGCGUGGUGGAUGAAGGUCUUCGGAUCGUAAAACUCUUUUAUAAGGGAAGAACAAUUGUGUAAGUAACUAUGCACGUUGUGACGGUACCUAAUCAGAAAGCGACGGCUAACUACGUG
rnacentral:rRNA from 1 species